rnacentral:lncRNA from 1 species
AAGGCUGUCGAUGGACCUGACAUCUACCAUAAAAUUUUAUACCUUCACCUGCAAGGAAAAGGGAAUUAUUUACCCGGUAGAGCAUACACCAUGUUUAAUGUAAUGAUGGUUUUUUAUUGCAAAACUGAGAAGCAAAUGCAAGAGACAUCAGUUACACCACUGUGAAUCCUUGCUUUUGUGACGUAUGUCUCAUGACACUAUCACAGUUGGUCUAAGCAUUCUUUUUUUUUCAAACACGCAGGAAAGCUGCAUAUCAUUAUAUUAAUAGGAGAAGAUAGAGUCAUACAGAGAUCCAAACACACACUCACACACCC